rnacentral:rRNA from 1 species
UACGGAGGGUGCAAGCGUUGUUCGGAAUUACUGGGCGUAAAGCACGCGUAGGCGGCUUGGUAAGUUGGAAGUGAAAUCCCAGGGCUUAACUCUGGAACUGCUUUCAAAACUAUCAAGCUAGAGUAUGGCAGGGGACAGUGGAAUUCCUAGUGUAGAGGUGAAAUUCGUAGAUAUUAGGAGGAACACCAGUGGCGAAAGCGACUGUCUGACCAUUACUGACGCUGAGGCGUGAAAGCGUGGGGAGCAAACAGG